UCAGAAUCUACCUGUAAUGCUAGUUCCUUUCCUUCUACGCAAGGUGUUCAAAGGUAUCAAAGGCCAUUACAUGAACAGAAGAGCAAUUUGGUGGCAACCCGUGCCAUGAAAAAUCCGAGAAAUUUGGGAUCUUAUGAAAAUAAUUUAUCAUCUUCUUUCAUGGCACAGGUAAAUGUUACAGAUCAGCCAGUGGUUGAUGAAAGGACCAACAUACCAAGGUUUUUACAGUUGGUUGAGAGGCUAAAGGGCAGCAUUUGAAUUGGAGAAAACAUUUUAGGGGCAACAGUUAAGAGGGAGGAGAAACUGAAAUUACAAAAAAUGGGACGGAAACCUAAUGGCAGUGGAAGUUCUUUCAAAGAACAGAGAGCAUAAAAUGUGACAUGGGUGGUUAGUUCUUUAUGUUGUGUAUGACUUAUUUGCAAUGUGCUAAGGUUAUAAAUUUCCUUUUUGAGGUUGACUCUGAUGAGCAUCAAUCAUCCCCAUGUUUGGUGACCGUGUCGUUAUACUGAAGAUUCUCUGGUUAACUACUUGGCUAAAGCAAUUAGGUUUUGUAAUAUGAAGGAGAUGGAAAUAUGGGC
rnacentral:lncRNA from 1 species